UACGUAGGGUGCGAGCGUUGUCCGGAAUUAUUGGGCGUAAAGGGCUCGUAGGCGGUUUGUCACGUCGGGAGUGAAAACUGGAGGCUCAACCUUCAGAGGUCGACCGAAACCAUCUGGCUAGAGUCCGGGAGAGGAGAGUGGAAUUCCUGGUGUAGCAGUGAAAUGCGUAGAUAUCAGGAGGAAUACCGAUGGCGAAGGCAGGUCUCUGGGCUGAUACUGACGCUCAUGCACGAAAGCGUGGGGAGCAAACAGG
rnacentral:rRNA from 1 species